UCUCACUCGCCGUCCCGCUUUAACCCUAAAAACCGAAAGGACAAAAAGAAGAUGAAAAAAGAAAAACCGUGUAGCGAUCUAAGGAUAGCAGAAAUUGGCACUUCCUUUGAGAUCGCCAAUAUGGCUUUGAGAAAGACGUCUACAAAAAAAGUGCAAUCUAAAUUAAAAAUAACGGAGAAUGCUGCAGAACCUGAAACCAUUAGUAUGUUCACCAACGUUGAUUC